CUGCUAGUAUAGAUGAGAGAGAGAGGGAGAACAUUUUUUCCCCCAAAUCAGAAAAAAAAAUCUCUAAAGAACGCUCAACCUUCGUAGGUGUUUACGACUCUUCCAAACUUUGCAGAAACGGAUCCAAUUCAUUCAACAUAUUUUAUUUUAGGGUUCAUAAUCUGUGGUUUAUGGUGUAUCUUCACACGAGAAGAAACGGUGUGACGAGAGGGAGAUGGAAGAGCUGAAAGGCGAAAAACAACAUACAUGGGUCUUUAUAGCAGCAGAAUGUUUUUGCAGUGACUCCGUGUGAAACCUGUCAUUAAGGCUUGCGCUUUAGGAGGUCUGAGGAGAUUGCAAGUGUAGCAGACAUCUGUGACAGGUUUGGGCUUUAGGAGGUCUGAGGAGAUUGCAAGCGUAGCACACUUUCUGCGACAGGUAGUACAUCUCUUUGAAUUAGUUGAGUCUCACGUAAUUAUAUAUUUUUGAAGGUAUGUGAGACUUAUGUAGUUUAAAUGUCUGAGAAACUUUUUACUUGUGUUAUCCACUAACCAUUCGUGGUCACAUAUAAUCACGUUCCUGUAAUUUUAUAAUUUAAUUUCGGUUGUUGUA